UUUGGAUUUCAGGCAUUCGCUCGGUUCUUUGCAAUGUGAGAGGAAAGUCCGGACACCACAGGACGGAAUUCCCCGUGAAAACGGGGGCGCCCUGCCUUAAUUCAGGGUGACGGCCAGUGUCACAGAAAACAAACCGCCCGGCGCAACGCGAAGGGUAAGGGUGAAAAGGUGAGGUAAGAGCUCACCGCGCUCCCGGGUAACCGGGGUGGCAGGAUAAACCCAAUUCGGUGCAAGACAAAGUAGGGGACGGGGUGGUCCGCCCAAUCGUCCCGGGUGUGUCGCAUCCCGCUUGGCGGGAAACAAGGUUGCUUGUUAGAUGAAUGAAUGCCCAUCCCGUUCGGGAUGACAGAAUCCGGCUUACGAGGUCCAAAGCUG
rnacentral:RNase_P_RNA from 1 species